rnacentral:rRNA from 1 species
CAGAUAGCAUGCCAUGUCUAAGUAUAAGCAAUUAUACCGUGAAACUGCGAAUGGCUCAUUAAAUCAGUUAUCGUUUAUUUGAUAGUACCUUACUACUUGGAUAACCGUGGUAAUUCUAGAGCUAAUACAUGCUAAAAACCCCGACUUCGGGAGGGGUGUAUUUAUUAGAUAAAAAACCAAUGCCCUUCGGGGCUCCUUGGUGAUUCAUAAUAACUUAACGGAUCGCAUGGCCUUGCGCCGGCGACGGUUCAUUCAAAUUUCUGCCCUAUCAACUUUCGAUGGUAAGGUAUUGGCUUACCAUGGUUUCAACGGGUAACGGGGAAUUAGGGUUCGAUUCCGGAGAGGGAGCCUGAGAAACGGCUACCACAUCCAAGGAAGGCAGCAGGCGCGCAAAUUACCCAAUCCCGACACGGGGAGGUAGUGACAAUAAAUACUGAUACAGGGCUCUUUUGGGUCUUGUAAUCGGAAUGAGUACAAUUUAAACCCCUUAACGAGGAACAAUUGGAGGGCAAGUCUGGUGAACGUUCAGCUAGUUUCCAUUCUGCUGACGCCAGAGAUAGUCGGGCGCCUCAGGGCGUUAUGCCGGCUAGUCGAGCACCCACUGAUCUGAUGGGGGGGUGCCGGCAAGACAACCUGGAUCGGGGAAGGCUAAGGCACAAGCUAAGCUGAUCCCGAGCAGAGCCUUCGCGGAGCGAUCCACGAUAUGGCCUGUGUAGAGCACGGUAAGGUGUCGGCUGGCUCACGUAGUCAGCUUAAGGGACGUGCCAUUCCCACCCGAAAGGGUGGCCGCCAGCAAUAGCGCCCAUCUCGCGAAGGCUGGCGGGUCCAAACAGUGGUUUGGAUGCAUCUCAAAAGGCCAGCAGCCGCGGUAAUUCCAGCUCCAAUAGCGUAUAUUAAAGUUGUUGCAGUUAAAAAGCUCGUAGUUGAACCUUGGGCCUGGCUGGCCGGUCCGCCUCACCGCGUGUACUGGUCCGGCCGGGCCUUUCCUUCUGGAGAUCCUCAUGCCCUUCACUGGGUGUGUUGGGGAACCAGGACUUUUACUGUGAACAAAUUAGAGUGUUCAAAGCAGGCCUUUGCUCGAAUACAUUAGCAUGGAAUAAUAGAAUAGGACGUGCGGUCCUAUUUUGUUGGUUUCUAGGACCGCCGUAAUGAUUAAUAGGGAUAGUCGGGGGCAUCAGUAUUCAAUUGUCAGAGGUGAAAUUCUUGGAUUUAUUGAAGACUAACUACUGCGAAAGCAUUUGCCAAGGAUGUUUUCAUUAAUCAGUGAACGAAAGUUAGGGGAUCGAAGACGAUCAGAUACCGUCGUAGUCUUAACCGUAAACUAUGCCGACUAGGGAUCGGGCGAUGUUUCUAUCUUGACUCGCUCGGCACCUUACGAGAAAUCAAAGUUUUGGUCUGGGG